rnacentral:rRNA from 1 species
AGAGUUUGAUCCUGGCUCAGAUUGAACGCUGGCGGCAUGCCUUACACAUGCAAGUCGAACGGCAGCACGGACUUCGGUCUGGUGGCGAGUGGCGAACGGGUGAGUAAUACAUCGGAACGUGUCCUGUAGUGGGGGAUAGCCCGGCGAAAGCCGGAUUAAUACCGCAUACGCUCUGCGGAGGAAAAGCGGGGGGAUCUUAG